rnacentral:lncRNA from 1 species
AAUUUGGAUAAACUUCAAAUAUCUUUCAUAUAAUUUUAUAUUUUUUUAUUUUAAUAUUUUAUAAUUUAAAAUAUAUUAAUUUAUUAUUUUAUAUUUUUAUUUGUUUUAUUUUGUCGACUAUUUCAUUAGCUUUUUAUUAAAUCAUAUAUAAAAAAAUUUUAGAUACUCAUUUAUAAUUUAUUAAAUAUUCACUUUAAUACUCCUUAAUUUUAACUUUGUUACUGGUUUAAUAAAAAAAAUUAGUGAAGGAAUAACAAAAAUUAAAAAAAAAAUCACAUAAUACGAAAGUGAUAUACUUUAAACCACAUUGCACUAAAUUGAGAAAGUGCGAAACUAUAUGAUUGGUAUUUGAAGUUUUUUCUAAAAUUAUGUCAAGCAUACGGUGUAUUGAGUCCAUAUAGAUUUCCAAAUAAUAU